rnacentral:rRNA from 1 species
GAUGAACGCUGGCGGCGUGCCUAAUACAUGCAAGUCGAGCGAACGGACUAGAAGCUGGCGUCGCGGAUGUUAGCGGAAGACGUGUGAGUAACACGUGGAUAACCUACCUAUAAGACGGGGAUAACUUCGGGAAACCGGAGCUAAUACGAUAUGAUAUUUGGAACCGCAUGGUUGAAAAGGGAAAGACGGUCUUGCGGGCACGUAUAGCUGCAUCCGCGCUUCAUUAGCUAGUUGGUAAGGUAACGGCUUACCAAGGCAACGAUGCAUAGACGACCGGAGAGGCUGGUAGCCCACCCGGGAAGUGAGACAGCCACCAGACUACUAAGGGAGGGAGCAGUCGGCAACCGGACGCAAUGGGCGAAAACAUGACGGAGUAAGGGCGAGCGAGUGAUGACGGUCCUCGGAUCGUAAAAAUCUCUUUCGAGGGAAGAACCUCUGUGUACGAAAAUGUGCACAUCUUGACGGUACCUACACAGAAAGCACCGGCUAACUACGUG